CUCAUUUUGGUGAUCUAGAUAUGGUUUUUAACCUUUGUAGUUCUUAUGUACAAAGUGGAAGUCUAUAUUUUAUGUUGAAAGUUAGUGUUUGGUUUUAUUCUCUUGAGGCCUGUGGUUGCUUUCUUUUAUUAUGUUUUGUGUACCUCAAUGAUUUAUAUCUUGGUAAAAAUUGGACCCCUAUUGAGGAAAUAAAGUUUUAGUAGCUAACAUAUGAGCUUCACGGAAAAGGAAAAAGAAGAUGGUGUGGGCAAGAAGGGGCUAGACAAUUAGUUGACUCAAUUAAGCUUUAGUUGCAAUCUAAUUGAUUUUGCUAUAUGAAUCCUUUUCCUUCAUUUUAGCUGAUUUGGG
rnacentral:misc_RNA from 1 species